AACAGGUGGAAGAUUGAAGGUCUGAAGAGUGGGAAGUCCCAGGAACAGGCAAUUCCAGGAAGAUAUGAGGAAAAUCAAGAAAGAGAAGGAAACUGAAGCUAGUGGGAAGUGCUUCAAGUUGGAGAUGAUGCUGAGAUGGCCAAAAAGUGAGAGGUGGAAAACAUUUGGAGUGAGUUAAGGAGAGAACGCGAGGCAAGGAAGUGAAGCUGAUUUUCAAACCUGAGUGAAUGAAUGAAUAAACGGACCUGGGAAUUGAUCAACAAUGGCUGCUGCAUCGCGUAAAGAGAGACGACCAGGUACGGUAUGCCUCCUGAUGGGAAAAAUGCCACCAGUCAUGAAGUAGUCUUUCCCCCUCAUCCCCUGAGAAAAUCAAACCGGAAUUUGAUUAAGCCUCUAGAUCCAACUUCCAUGCAUAGGAAAAUCUGAGGGCAGAAUUAUCUAAGUCGCAGUUACCAUUAGAG
rnacentral:lncRNA from 10 species